CCUAAAUUAUAAGACGACAUCUUUUGGGAUCGAGACUCAGAAGUUUGCGAUAAAUGCCGGAGGUAGCUGGGAUAAUUAUGCACAAGCUCGUAAGGCGACUUGCUGCACGUAUAAUGGUUAAGCAAUUACCUCGAUGAGUGCAUGUCAAGACGGUCGGGAGUAUGAUCAGUGGAGCUGACUUUCCAGACGACUUACGCGGAUUAGCAUGCGGUGGAUACAACACCUGGUAUAACAUAUGAAGGCUUCCAUCUAGUACAGAAAUAAAGAUCCAUGGGAGCAAACUAAUUAGUUGUAGGUAAUCUAACGCCGCUGUUGAGUCAGUUUUUAACAUCCAGUCAACUCUUGUAGGUUAUUGGUCUUUGGCAGACCUUGGACCGUCUAGCGCCGGCCAACAAUUUGUCGUCGACUAACAUGAUGAUUUGCGAGAGAAACCCACGCUUUGUCACUUAUGUGAGAACAAAAUCUUUUGUCCAUAUGAUCCUUUGAAGGGGACAGCGCUUAGAGCUUGCUCAGCGUUGGCACCUUUAGAAACCUAAAGGAAAUGACGGAAGGGCACCACCAGGAGUGGAGCCUGCGGCUUAAUUUGACUCAACACGGCAAAACUCACCAGGUCCAUACAAAGUAAGGAUUGACAGGUUGAUAGCCCUUUCUUGAUUUUAUGUGUGGUGGUGCAUGGCCAUUCUUAGUUGGUGGAGUGAUUUGUCUGGUUAAUUCCGUUAACAAACGAGACCUUUACGAAAACAAACGAGACCGGUUAAAUAGUCACACGGUUCCCGAACCGUGACUGACUUCUUAAAGAAACUGUUAGUGUUUAACCAAAGUCAGAAAGGCAAUAACAGGUCUGUGAUGUCCUUAGAUGUCUGGGCCGCACGCGCGCUACACUGUCGAAUGCAGCGAGUCUUAUCCUUAACAGAAAAGUUCGGGUAAUCUUAUGAAAGUUCGACGUGAUGGGGAUCGAUUAUUGCAAUUAUUGAUAAUGAACGAGGAAUUCCUAGUACACGCGAGUCAUAAGCUCGCGAUGAUUACGUCUCUGCUCUUUGUACACAGCGCCCGUCGCUACUACCGAUUAAAUGGUUUAGUGAGAUUACCGGAUCGGUUUCAGCGCAACUUCAUGAUUGUUGCUGAAGGCCGCUUGUCUG
rnacentral:rRNA from 1 species